AUUAAAAUUGAGGAACUGAUAAUGUUUUCAGAGGGAUUAUCUUCCAAGGAGUGACUAGGAUCCAAACUCAAAAAAUAAACAGAUUAAGACCAUUUCUUCAGUCUAGUUCCACAGUGUGUAUAUCAUGAACUUUGCCAAAGGACAGUUGAUAUUUUUCCUACCCCAUCCCCUUCAUUUGGUCACCCAAUUUCAACAGGAAAGCUGGGAGGGACUGGGAGUCUGGGGUUAACAGAUGCAAACUAUUGCCUGUGGAGUGGAUAAGCCAUGAGAUCCUACAGCGCCGCACAGGGAACUCUAUCUAGUCACUUAGGAUGGAACAUGAUGGAGGACAACGUGAGGAGAAGAAGAUAUAUACACGCGUGUGACUGGGUCACUCUGCUGUACAGUGGAAAUUGACAGAACACUAUAAACCCACUAUAAUGAAAAAAAUAAAAAUCAUUUAAAAAAUAAAGCUAAAAUUCAGCAAUAACACCUUGUGGUGACUGGCCCUGUUCUAAACACUGGACACAGUAUGAGGCUAUCAAGGAACGUACAGUCUAGUGGGACACAUAGAAUCAUCACUGACGCAGCAACGGAGAUGCAGAAAGUACAACUGGGGCACGGAAGUUCAGCCCAGGCUGAUGAAUAAAGGCUCAGCCGUGGCCAGGAGGAGGAGGUUCUAGCUGAUCGACAUUGGCACAGGACCUUCCAGACAGAAGGAGGAGCAUGCGUAAGCAACACUGAGCACAGCACAGCCUCUGGGGAUAACCCGCACGUGGCACUGUGUGAGCACGCAGAGGGCACACUGGGGCGGGGGGGGGGGGCGGCUCUGGUUGGAAAUGGGCCUUCAGCACGCAGACAGGUGCCACAUCACAAAGGGCGGCGGCGGACCUUAUCCUGCAGGUGAAUGGUAAGCAGAGGAAUGAACAGUACAGUUAUGUUUCGGAAAGUUUACUUGGGUCACAGAGGAAAGAUGGAUUAAAAUGACUUAUUUAAGUCAUACUAGAGACUAAAACUAGUAAGAAAGCUAUUAUAUUACAGAAGCAGAGGUAAUGAGGGCCGGAACUUGAGAAGCAACAGUGGAAAUGGGCAUAAAGUGACCAAUUUAAAGAAGAUUCAGAAAGUAAAAUAUUCAUGAGGAGUUCCUAUCGUGGCUCAGUGGUUAACGAAUCCGACUAGGAAGCAUGAGCGGGUUCGAUCCCUGGCCUCGCUCAGUGGGUUAAGGAUCCGGCGUUGCUGUGAGCUGUGGUGUAGGUCGCAGACGAGGCUUGGAUCCACAUUGCUGUGGCUGUGGUGUAGGCCGGGCGGCUACAGCUCCGAUUGGACCCCUAGCCUGGGAACCUCUAUAUGCUGUGAUGCAGCGCUAAAAAGACAAAAAAAAAAAAAAAAGUAAAAUAUGUGACAGACACCACAGGUUCCCAGCUAACUGCCUGCCCACAACUCACUGUAAAGGCUAGAAGAGCCAGACAGGCCCCUUCUCAGCUUCACCACAGUCACCAGGGAGCCAACUCUGGACCGUCUCUUGGGAAAGGAGGGUGGCUGUGGCAAGGCCUUCCCCGUCUAUUCAAAAGAGAGAGAUGGAUGUGGAGGAAAGUCCUACUCACCUCUGUCUUCUCCUCCUGCUGACUGAGGACACUAUGUCGGGUGCUGUGACAGUCACUUUACAACUAGGAGAGGACAAAGCAAGAACAAAGGCCAACAUGCUGAGGACAGCAGAGUGGAAAGACGAAAAAGUCUUGGUCCCUGAGGACUGGCCGAGCUGCGGGGCUAAUGCAGGGACUGUUUAUUUCUGGCGUAAGUAUCCUUCCAGUUCAAGCCACUCAUUGUCAAGCUCUCUGUUACUUUCAAAUAAAAUUAACCAAACUAAGAGACAGGGCCUGGUGAGGUGCAGGGUUUGUAACAAAGAGGAAUUUAAGUUUUGUUCCGAAGGCUCUGCCUUGGAAACUGAGAAGAAGGUGCCAGUUACCAAGAUAAAAUUACAGCACAAGAGAUUUGCAUCUUGGGGCUGGGGGGUGAGGCGGAGGUGGGGGGUGGAGGAGAGGAGGAAGGGUCUAAGGGGGGGAGGAGAAAAGGAAAAAAGUUUGUUCCUGGGCAUGCCGACUUAGAGAUAUUAUGGAAUCAAGGGAGUUCCCAUUGUGGCUCUGUGGCGGCAAGCCCGACUACUAUCCAUGAGGAUCAGAUUCGAUCCCUGGCCUCGCUCAGUGGGCUAAGGGUCUGGUGUUGCCGUGAGCUGUGGUGUAGGCCGGCAGCUACAGUUCCAAUUAGCCCCCUAGCCUGAGAGCCUCCAUAUGCCAUAGGUGCGGCCCUAAAAGGCUAAAAAAAAAAAAAACUAUGGAAUCACCCAGGUGAGAAGUUUAUUGAGGUGACUCUGGAACUCUUUCAAACAGUCUGAAUGAGAUCGACAGAUGUGCGGGAAGCCAGAUCCUGCCCCAGCUGCACGGCUCACACUCCCUAAGGGAGACAAGAGACUCAGUGGAGUCCAGAUAAAAACUUCCUAAUGUGAAGAGUCCUAGAGAGUGUUAAUCUUCUACUAUGACUCUGAAGAUGUACAGAUACUCUUUAAAAGUAGGAAGAAAACGUUUUAUAGAAUGCAUCUACAGACAUUAUCAUAUUACUGCAUAUUUUUAUUUUAUAAAAACUCCUUAGUAGCCAAGAUAACUGGAGAAACCCAGUAUCUGGAUGGAGGACCAAUGAAGAGCUUGUGCUAAAGUGACUACACCAGAGAUGGGCGCAGCCACUGAAACCCCCGGCCUCACUGUGUGUGCUCGCAAAUCAGCAGUUUUGAAUCACCUCAUUCCCAAGACGCGGAAAGUAACUCCAGGACAGGUUUUACCGGGGGAUGGAUUACUCUGAAGCACAGAGAGGAACCUAAUCAUUGAGAAGGCAGCAAGCAAUAAUUAAGCACCACUGAGAAAGAUUAAGUAAGCUUCUGAGGGCUGGCGUAUUCCUCCAGGAGAAGGAAGUUAAUUCGGAUGACCCCGAAACAAUUAUUUUCACCCGUGGCAGAGUUAUGGAAGCACUGACCCGCAGCUCCCACCCUAGUGAAAAGGAAAAGCAGAGCAGGCAACAGUCUCACAGAGAAAGAGGCACAAGGAUACACAGCAAGUGGUCCCUAUAAACAGUGAUUAUAAGUGCAAAUCAAAGGCUGAUUUUCUUGUUUACAAAGCUGGGACUGGAUAGGUAGCUCAUGUACCAGGCCUGUAUGUAAGGACAGACGGACAGAUGCGGGCAAUCCUCAUCAAAAGCAUUUAUGACUAGCAAAGAUAAAAGGACUCUGCCCUUGCCAUCAAGCAAACAUGUUCAAAAACCAAAACAGACUUGAGAAAAAUAAGUAUAAUAGAUACAAAUUUUGUCUAUCAACCCACUGGUCUUCAUUCUAAAACCUAACUCUGAGCACACUGCUCCCCACCACGAACACUUUAAGAGGUUCCCUCCCGGCUCACAGCCUCCCUAAGCCCUUCACUCCAACCCCAAACUAAAUGUUUUGUCCCCUUUCACGCAUUCUAUCUACACUCUAGCCAUGAGGGGACCAGCGGAGAUCCCCCACCCAACCCGUGCUUUCCCACUCCUGCCACUCUGUUCCCACUGACUGUUCUCUGCCUGUGGACAUGCUGCCGGUCCUUCGGGCUUGACGUUCUGGAGCUUUCAGCAUCCCCGAUCCCACAAAGCACUCAGGCUCCCCCCUUUACAUCUUGUUCUGCUCUUAGCAAAAGUAGGCUAUUCUGUCUUGAUUUGUUACUACUGUGACAUUCUAAAUUCCUUAAAAGAAGAGAUAAUUCACUUUGGUGACUUCUACAGGGUCAUAACUAAAUAACUGUAGGCUGCCAAGUUAGUGGCAUAAAACACAAACUGAAAGCUCUCAAAAAAACACACAAGGACUUCCUGUUGUGGCGCAGCGGAAAGGAAUCUGACGAGUAUCCAUAAGGACUCAGUUUCGAUCCCUGGCCUUGAUCAGUGGGUUAAGGAUCCGGAGUUGCUGUGAGCUGUGGUGUAGGUUGCCAACAUAGCUCGGAUCUUGAGUUGCUGUGGCUGUGGAGCAGGCCGUCAGCUGCAGCUCCUAAUCGACCCUUAGCCUGGGAACUUCCAUAUACCACAGGUGCGGCCCUAAAAAGCAAAAAAAAAGAAAAAAGAAUACACAAGCCUAGGUUUGAUAACUCAGCUAUAAAGACUCAUAUACCUCUGUUAGGAAGAAAAAGCAAUACAUAAGAAAUAAACACAGGAAUUAUGCAGUGGAGAAGAUAAUGAAACAGACUGUGGUCUAGAAAUUCUAGCUCCUACUUCGAAGUUAUCAGGCCGGGUUUAACCCACCCUUUUGUCUCUCUCUGCUCCCUCUGUAACUACCUCCUCUGCAAAGGCGAGGUGAAGAAUAAGAUCUUUGUUGUCUAGUUAAUACCUCUUCCUCUACCUUCGCAGAUUCCUUUUAGACUCUGAAACCAUGGCCCCCUGGCCACUGCAGAAUUCUGACUUAUAAAGGAGUGGAAACCAUCUGCAAGAACAGGAAGACAGUGUUCUCAAUACAUCAUCAAGGAUGGUUUGUAACACUCUUCAUGAAUAAACAGUCAGAUCACUGAGGGGGUGGGGGGCAAAGACACGGUAAAAGGGAUAUAAGAAUUCUUGAAAAGUAAAGGCAACUACAGCUCUCUGCAGAAAAAGGUUAAAUCUGGGGAAUUAUUUCUUAACCAGUCACAAAGGCCAAAGACCUUACAAAGCAGCACGAUUUUCUAGCAUCUCUAAUUCUGAUUAUUCUUCUCUGAAACUUUUGCUACAGUGUUCCACUUUUCUUAGAGCCUACACCAAGCUAUGUCCUACUCUCACGAAUUCCCAGAUUGCGGCAUGGGAAUUCUCUUCUACCCAAGAUACGACACUGGAAAUUUAAAAACUUAAAGACAAUGCAAGAGAACCAAAACUUUAGGUCUAUGAAGGAGAACAAGACUCCCGACCUUUAGUAUUUCUGUUCUUUUGCAUCCAGCAAAAACAAUGAUGGGAACGUUCGGUCAAUCCGAAAAGAAAUUUUAAACAACGCAAAGAGAGGUAACCGCUUACAAAGCAAAAACUAAUCAACCCAAAGCCAUACAAACCCAAGCAUGCCUCUAACUGCAACAAUAAUUUUGUACUGGGUGUUUCAAUGGCAAACCGAUCCUUGGACUCGAUUCUGUGGGCUUAGAAUACACCAAAGGCAGAUGACAUAACAAACAAGUUCUUCCCGUCCCUCUCCUGUGGUCACGUCAGAUACCUGUUGCAUCACCCGGAAAGUGGUCUCCAGAAUCCAGGAAAGGAGCACCAUCAGGAUCCCUAAAUAAGGCAGCCGGACUAUCUGCUGGAUCAAUUUUAGCCUCCAUUCAUUUUAAUGAGGUUGCCUUGGAGGCAGGGGUGUGUUGGCUCCUGUUCACCUCUGAAGUCAGUCUC
rnacentral:lncRNA from 1 species